AACGAACGCUGGCGGCAUGCCUAACACAUGCAAGUCGAACGAGACCUUCCGGUCUAGUGGCGCACGGGUGCGUAACGCGUGGGAACCUGCCCUUAGGUUCGGAAUAACUCCCCGAAAGGGGUGCUAAUACCGGAUAAUGUCUUCGGACCAAAGAUUUAUCGCCUUUGGAUGGGCCCGCGUUGGAUUACCUAGUUGGUAGGGUAAAAGCCUACCACGGCGACGAUCCAUAGCUGGUCUGAGAGGAAGAUCAGCCACACUGGUACUGAGACACGGCCCAGAAUCCUACGGGAGGCAGCAGUGGGGAAUAUUGGACAAUGGGCGAAAGCAUGAUGCAGCAAUGCCGCGUGAGUGAUGAAGGCCUUAGGGUUGUAAAGCUCUUUUACCCGGGAUGAUAAUGACAGUACCGGGAGAAUAAGCUCCGGCUAACUCCGUG
rnacentral:rRNA from 1 species